UUUGUAUUCGUACGAAGGUGUCCUAGUGGCGAACGGGUGAGUAUCGCGUUGGUGACCUACCCCAAAGCCUGGGAUAACAGUUCGAAAGGACUGCUAAUACCGGAUGUGGUCAUCGGAUUUAGAAACCGAUGUCUAAAGGAUUUAUUCGCUUUGGGAGGGGCCUGCGUCCCAUCAGCUAGUUGGUAAGGUAACGGCUUACCAAGGCGACGACGGGUAGGGGACCUCAGAGGGUGGCCCCCCACAAUGGAACUGAAACACGGUCCAU
rnacentral:rRNA from 1 species